CCUAGGCUUGUGGCAGCAUCACGCCAACCUCUGCCUCCGUCCUCACGUGGCAUUCUCCCUGUGUGUCUGUCUUUCUUCUCUU